rnacentral:rRNA from 1 species
GAUAGCGGCGAACGGGUGAGUAACGCGUAAGUAACCUGCCCCGAAGCUGGGGAUAAUCCCUCGAAAGGGGGACUAAUACCGAAUAUAAUGCCAACACGCAUGUGUCGGUCAUGAAAGGCAGCCUUUUUGAGGCUGUCGCUUCGGGAUGGGCUUGCGUCCUAUUAGCUAGAAGGCGGGGUAAAAGCCCACCUUGGCGACGAUGGGUAGCUGGUCUGAGAGGAUGUCCAGCCAUAUGGGAACUGAGACACGGUCCCAACUCCUACGGGGGGCAGCAGGUCAGAAUAUUGGACAAUGGGCGAAAGCCUGAUCCAGUGACGCCGCGUGGGCGAUGAAGCCCUUCGGGGUGUAAAGCCCUUUUCUGGGAGAAGAACUCUUGACGGUAUCCCAGGAAUAAGCCCCGACUAACUACGUGCCAGCAGUCGCGGUAAUACGUAGGGGGCAAGCGUGAUCCGGAAUUACUGGGCGUAAAGAGCGCGUAGGCGGCGUGGAAAGUUCGGCGUGAAAUCCAGAGGCUUAACCUCUGAGUGUCGUCGAAUACUUCUGCGCUUGAGGUGAAAAGAGGGAAGUGGAACUUGUGGUGUAGCGGUGAAAUGCGUUGAUAUCACAAGGAACACCAGUGGCGAAGGCGGCUUCCUGGUUUCAUCCUGACGCUGAGGCGCGAAAGCUAGGGUAGCGAACGGGAUUAGAUACCCCGNGUAGUCCUANGCCGUAAACGAUGGUCACUAGGUGUCGGCUCGAAAGGGUCGGUGCCGCAGCCAACGCAUUAAGUGACUCGCCUGGGGAGUACGGCCGCAAGGCUGAAACUCAAAGGAAUUGACGGGGACCCGCACAAGCGGUGGAGCACGUGGUUUAAUUCGAUGCAAACCGAAGAACCUUACCAGGGCUUGACAUGCUGGUGGUAGCGACCCGAAAGGGAAGCGACCCUGCAAGGGGAGCCUGCACAGGUGGUGCAUGGCUGUCGUCAGCUCGUGUCGUGAGAUGUUGGGUUAAGUCCCGCAACGAGCGCAACCCUCAUCCCCUGUUGCUACGGAAUAGCAUCCGGGCACUCUGGGGAAACUGCCGGAGCAAUCCGGAGGAAGGUGGGGAUGACGUCAAGUCAUCAUGCCCCUUAUGUCCUGGGCCACACACGUGCUACAAUGGGCACUCCAGAGGGCUGCGAAGCCGUGAGGCGGAGCCAAUCCCAAAAAGGUGUCCUCAGUUCGGAUCGGAGUCUGCAACUCGACUCCGUGAAGCCGGAAUCGCUAGUAACCGCAGGUCAGCCAUACUGCGGUGAAUACGUUCUCGGGUCUUGUACACACCGCCCGUCAAGCCAACCGAGUCGGGCAUGCCCGAAGUC